GAGGCCAGGCCAGUUACUAUGCCCUUCCUGCCCAUACCGAGGCUCUAGCCUCCAAUUCCGUCAUCACAGGUAUUGUCAUGGCUUGUCACAAAGAUGCAUCGGUUCUAUUCGAUCCACGCUCCACUUAUUCUUAUGUGUCUUCUUAUUUUGCUCCACAUUUGGGUGUAUCUCAGGAUUCUUUGAGUUCCCCUAUUUACGUUUCUAUUCCU
rnacentral:lncRNA from 1 species